rnacentral:sRNA from 1 species
GUUGCCAUGGCGACGCUGUCGCGCCACGGCCCGCAGAACCGGCCGAGCGACCCGGGCGCGGCGCGGGGAGGCUGGCGGGACGCUCGGGUAGGCAAGCGUUUGCCUCAGCAUGGAGGGCGGGGCCGCGGCAACCACCCCCGCAGCACUGCCUUACUACGUGGCCUUCUCCCAGCUGCUGGGCCUGACCUUGGUGGCCAUGACUGGCGCGUGGCUCGGGCUGUACCGAGGCGGCAUUGCCUGGGAGAGCGACCUGCAGUUCAACGCGCACCCCCUCUGCAUGGUCAUAGGCCUGAUCUUCCUGCAGGGAAAUGCCCUGCUGGUUUACCGUGUCUUCAGGAACGAAGCUAAACGCACCACCAAGGUCCUGCACGGGCUGCUGCACAUCUUUGCGCUCGUCAUCGCCCUGGUUGGCUUGGUGGCGGUGUUUGACUACCACAGGAAGAAGGGCUACGCUGACCUAUACAGCCUACACAGCUGGUGCGGGAUCCUUGUCUUUGUCCUGUACUUUGUGCAGGUGAGAGAGCUGCCUU